GAUGAACGCUGGCGGUAUGCUUAACACAUGCAAGUCGAACGGUCACUUCGGUGAUAGUGGCGGACGGGUGAGUAACGCGUGAGAAUCUGUCUUCAGGUCGGGGACAACAGUUAGAAAUGACUGCUAAUACCGGAUGUGCCUUUGGGUGAAAGAUUUAUUGCCUGAAAAAGAGCUCGCGUCAGAUUAGCUAGUAGGUGGUGUAAGAGACUACCUAGGCUCCGAUCUGUAGCUGGUCUGAGAGGACGAUCAGCCACACUGGAACUGAGACACGGUCCAGACUCCUACGGGAGGCAGCAGUGGGGAAUUUUCCGCAAUGGGCGAAAGCCUGGCGGAGCAAUACCGCGUGAGGGACGAAGGCUUUUGGGUCGUAAACCUCUUUUCUCAAGGAAGAUGAUGACGGUACUUGAGGAAUAAGCAGCGGCUAACUCUGUG
rnacentral:rRNA from 1 species